rnacentral:rRNA from 1 species
GACGAACGCUGGCGGCGUGCCUAAUACAUGCAAGUCGAGCGCAGGAAACUGACGGAACUCUUCGGAGGGAAGGCAGUGGAAUGAGCGGCGGACGGGUGAGUAACACGUAAGGAACCUGCCUCAAGGAUUGGGAUAACUCCGAGAAAUCGGAGCUAAUACCGGAUAGUUCAACGGACCGCAUGGUCCGCUGAUGAAAGGCGCUCCGGCGUCACCUUGAGAUGGCCUUGCGGUGCAUUAGCUAGUUGGUGGGGUAAUGGCCCACCAAGGCGACGAUGCAUAGCCGACCUGGGAGGGUGAUCGGCCACACUGGGACUGAGACACGGCCCAGACUCCUACGGGAGGCAGCAGUAGGGAAUCUUCCACAAUGGACGAAAGUCUGAUGGAGCAACGCCGCGUGAGUGAUGAAGGUUUUCGGAUCGUAAAACUCUGUUGUAAGGGAAGAACACGUACGAGAGGGAAUGCUCGUACCUUGACGGUACCUUACGAGAAAGCCACGGCUAACUACGUGCCAGCCGCCGCCGUAAAAC